GUAUAUGAGGUGAUUAAUUGGAGGGCAAAUCGAGUGCCAGCGGCCGCGGUAAUACUUGUUCCAAGAGUGUGUAUGAUGAUUGAUACAGUUAAAAAGUCCGUAGUUUAUUACUAAGAAGCAAUAUGAGGUGUACUGUAUAGUUGGGAAAGAGAUGAAUUGCGACGACCCUGACUGGACGAACUGAAGCGAAAGCUGUACACUUGUAUGUAUUUUUUGAACAAGGACGUAAGCUGGAGGAUCGAAGAUGAUUAGAUACCAUUGUAGUUCCAGCAGUAAACUAUGCCGACGAUGUGAUAUGAGAUGUUGUAUUACAUUAUAGAAAUUAGAGUUUUUGGCUCUGGGGAUAGUAUGAUCGCAAGAUUGAAAAUUAAAGAAAUUGACGGAAGAAUACCACAAGGAGUGGAUUGUGCGGCUUAAUUUGACUCAACGCGAGGUAACUUACCAAUAUUUUAUUGUUCGGCGAGGAUAUGAUCUGAGG
rnacentral:rRNA from 1 species